UUCAGUGGAAACAGUAAACUUGAUUUAUUGAAAAAAUCUAUUACAUUUAUUCCUUUAUUACACAGGUUUAAAAUAUUUUAAAAUAGCUCUUAUGGGCAUUACACUUAAAUUUUAUGACAUGUUUAUUGGACUUUGAAGAAAUGUACAAUAUGUCACUCGACACUAUAGUUUAAAAAGGGCCUUAUGUACUAGAAUUUGUUUUUCCAUAGGCUUUAUUUUUCUUAUCAACAUUUGUUCAAGUCAAUAUAUAUUAAGGGAGGAGGGAAAUAAAAUUACACAAAAAGAAUGUCUGCAAAUACAAGUAGUAAUUUUAUUGCAAUAUACCGUAGCUAAGUGGUCUGGGGGAAUCGGAACAGUUGGGAGCUCAGUACAAUUACAACACUGUGGAAUUCGACAGAGGAAUUUUUUUUUUUUCUUUUCUUAAAGCAAUGAAAUAAAAGGAAAAAAAUAAAAGAAAAAAGCUCCCUUGAUGAAAAUUUAUGACAGAAUCACAUGACCUGGGCAGGCGCACACGUGUGUACAUACAUCAAGAUAUGGCUUUUCUGUUGCAGAGAGGAGUGUGCAACCUUUCCUGACCUUCCCACUGCUCCUGAACAAGGCUGUUGCCAAGGUGACUGAGAAGCUGAAUUCUCCUAUAUAUUAUUAUCAUAUUCUCCUUUUCACUGCUUUGCUGCCGGAGUCUGCAGGGUUUAGGGUAGCACCUUAUGUAUUUUUUGUCCCCCGAGUGGAAAAACAAUAAUGCAAGAGAACAGAGCAGGAGAAGGGAGAGGGAUGGACAUGGCUCUCCCAGGCCAACAAGCACCGCGCGGCGUCGCCGCUGCCCCCAGCACAGCUUCGCCUCCCUUCCUUGGCUGCUGCUGCUCUCUGCUUGGGAAGGAGGGGGGAGAAGACAUCAGAUAUAGGCCUUUCUUCACAGUAAAUGUGAUGUCUUUUCCUUUAUGGUGAAAGCCCCCCUUUGGCUCAAGCGCUGCUGGAAUACUCCAGGCCAAAUAAUUAAAAAAGCACCCUGCAACAUCUAUUUUCCAGCUGAGAGAUCUAACCAAGGAAAACGGGCAGGGGGAAGACACACGGACGAACACAUGGAAAAAGAAGAUGGUGUCACCAGGUUGCAAGCCGAAAACGCUGCAUGGGAAAAGAAAAACCCCAUCCUGGCGUUGCCACCGUGGGAAGACCAAGAGAACUGCAGACUCCUGGGAGCGCGGCGGGUGGCAUCCCACCCGGCUUCAGCAUCGCAUCAGGACAGCCAGCAACUACAUA
rnacentral:lncRNA from 1 species